UACGUAGGGGGCAAGCGUUGUCCGGAAUCAUUGGGCGUAAAGCGCGCGUAGGCGGCCCGGUAAGUCCGCUGUAAAAGUCCAGGGCUCAACCCUGGAACGCCGGUGGAUACUGUCGGGCUAGAGUCCGGAAGAGGCGAGUGGAAUUCCUGGUGUAGCGGUGGAAUGCGUAGAGAUCCGGAAGAACACCAGUGGCGAAGGCGGCCCGCUGGGCAGUGGCUGACGCUGAGGCGCGACAGCGUGGGGAGCAAACAGG
rnacentral:rRNA from 1 species